AUUGAACGCUGGCGGCAGGCCUAACACAUGCAAGUCGAGCGGAGAGGCGGACGGGUGAGUAAUGCCUAGGAAUCUGCCGGGUAGUGGGGGAUAAAGUCAGGAAAAGGGCGAUAAUACCGAAGACUAUAAGAUGAGCCUAGAUCGGAUUAGCUAGAUGGUGGGGUAAAGGCCUACCAAGGCGACGAUCCGUAACUGGUCUGAGAGGAGGAUCAGUCACACUGGAACUGAGACACGGUCCAGACUCCUACGGUAGGCAGCAGUGGGGCAUAUUGGACAAUGGGCGAAAGCCUUAUCCAGCCAUGCCGCGUGUGUGAUGAAGGUCUUCGGAUUGUAAAGCACUUUAAGUUGGGAGGCGUUACCAGCAGAAUAAGCACCGGGUAACUUCGUGCCAGCAGCCGCGGUAAUAC
rnacentral:rRNA from 1 species